UCCGUGUUGUCGUGUGAACUGCAGGACACAUGAACAUCGACACUUUGAACGCAAAUGGCGGCCCUCG
rnacentral:rRNA from 1 species